rnacentral:rRNA from 1 species
UACGUAGGGGGCGAGCGUUGUCCGGAAUCAUUGGGCGUAAAGAGCGUGUAGGCGGCUCGGUAAGUCCGCUGUAAAAGUCAAAGGCUCAACCUUUGAAUGUCAGUGGAUACUGCCGGGCUAGAGUCCGGAAGAGGCGAGUGGAACUCCUGGUGUAGCGGUGGAAUGCGCAGAUAUCAGGAGGAACACCUAUUGCGAAGGCAGCUCGCUGGGACGUAACUGACGCUGAGACGCGAAAGCGUGGGGAGCAAACAGG